UCCUCGGCUGGAAGCACGAGGGCUUUUGUGUAAAGAGUGUGUGUGUGUGUGUGUGUGUGUGUGUGUGUGCGUUAGAACACAGUUUACAAAGUCUACACACUCAGAGUCCUGAUGCACUCACCCGGUCUUCAGCUGGAAAAAAGGCCUCCUCCGUCAGAGCCGCCUCAGAAACAUCCGACGGGGCUUUUGGUCUGAGACAGAAAGAAAAAGCCUUUGAGUUCGAUGGAGUUUGCGUGCAGAGAUGCUAACGAGCUAAUGAGCUAACCCGCUACACGUCGACUUAACAGGAGAAAAUGAGUCCGAGUCACCGGAACGCACCUCAUCGUUACACCUCGAUUCUACUUCCUGAGGGAAUACGGAAGCACUUGUUUUGUUGAAUGGAUCGUCAUAUUAAUCACAUGUGAUCUGAAUGAUUAAUGCGUUUACCUUUUGAUGUAAACCUCUUAUGUAAUAUAGUCAAAUUGUGUGGUGGGAGCCGUGCUUUUUAUAUCAUUAAAACUAAAUUAAAUGAUCUUUUGUUAACCUCCGUAGUUUAAUGAGACAGUUGUGGUCCAAGAGGACUCAUCCAGCGCUAACAUCCGUCUGCCCGACGGAGUCAUUUCAAACCAUCCGGACGGGAACGUCAACGGCUGCGCCGAAGCAGUCGGUCGGGACCAAGAUGGCCGACCGACAUCGCGUUAUUCAGAGAAAAGCUAAAGCCUCGUCGGCCCUUUCAGGGGCUUUGUGCACUCGUGUGUGUCCCACAAAGCUGGAAGCAAAACGCCAUUCUCCUAUCGACUUCCAGCAAACGACGUACAUCGAUUCGCUUCCUCUGCUCAGCUCCUUUUUCUUUUUCCAGUUAGUCGGUGAACUUUUAAAAAAGUCCAUCUGAUCUCCCCCGGUGCUCUGAUACAACGGGACGCCUCCAUCACCAGCAGCUCCAACAGGAAGCAAAGGGGCAGGACGGACCUGUGGGCGCAACGUCCCAUUCACACGGGUGGAGGACGGGGCAGAAGGAACAGGACGGGGUUUGUAGCGUUGCGGUGGACAAAGUGGACAAAGUGGAGGAGGGAGACGUGAACACGGGGAGGAGACAAAGACGCUGGUGGGCUUUUGUGAUGUGAUGCGCUGCAGCGUGAGAUGGGAAGAAGGAUGAACUGUAACCGAGAGCAGAGAGACGGAGACGAGAUGGAGCGGCUGAAAAACAGAUGGGACCCACACGCGCACACGCACACACACACACACACACACACACACACACGCCAUGCAUGCCUUUACUACACACAAAUAGGAAAUACGAACACUGUUGGAUCAAAGGGGCAGCUUCUCCUUUCUUGUUUUACAAAAGAUUUGUAUUAAUGCAAAAAUAAAUUCUACACGCGCACAAACGCACACAUGCACGCACACACACACACACACACACACACACACACACACACACACACCAAUGCAAACACUUUAUUCCGCUCAAGUAGCGUUCUGCUGAUUGCAUGCUCUCCCCGCGGGGAUUUCUACUCUCUAAAUAUAGUUUUUGCACGAUCAAUAUUAUUUCCACACACACAGACACACACACACACACACACACAGUGCUGCUUUAUCAGUUCUCACAUCCCACUUAGCCGAAGAAGAUCAGCGUUUCCUGAAGCCAAAUUCACGCUAACAUCCGAGAUCAGUGGAAGUUUUCGAGCCGCUUCAUUCGAUCGACUUGAGGAAAUCUGCUUUACGUGCUGUGUAGUUCUAAUUAAAACGCUGACACGACACGAUUUCAACUGAUCAUCAGAUGUUUCAGCAAAGUCGAAUCCCACCGAGCGCUCGGAGCCGUUUGAGCGAUGUCAUCGGAUGCCGAGGUUUCAGACGCUUCGGGGGGGGGGGGGGGGGGGCUGCCUAAGGAGGCCUCCCGGAUGAGCCCAUGAGAAGGUCACACUGAGCCCAGGUAGGGGGGUGAGCUCCUGUGAGGGUCGAUGGAGCUCGGUUGUUAGGGUGUGACGGGCCAUCCUUCUGCCUGGAUUUGAACAAUUAUACGUAAUAAUGCGCCAUAUUCUUCAGCGCUGAUCACAAUGCAAGAAAGUGGGGGAGGGAGAAAACUUCGACGAAAGGCUGCUGCUUAUCAGCUGAGAAAAUGAUAGUUUACGCUCACGGGAACGAUUUUGACAUUCUCACAAUCAACGGCACAAACAGCUCGCAGAUCUUCUGCCGCUUUGAGCACCGUCUCGUCACACUGGCUUUCUGGUUGCGGAAUGGCACGCGGCCCGAGUGUGACAGACACUUCCCGUCUCGUCUUCAUCAGAGACCCCCCCCUCUCAUCCUCAUCUCUAUCUCUUCUCUCUCUCGGCCCUCCUCGCCGUCGCUCCAUUGUUCCUCCAUUAAAACCCACGGCGACCCGCAUAACUGCCUCCAAUGACUCGGCCCUAAUGAAAAAAACACAUCGCAUUAGCGGCGUCACGCCGAGCCCCCCCCCCCCGGCCUCGGGACCAAAGCACAUAAGAUUCCCUGUCAGUGUCGGGGGGAGUCGGAUAACCCUCUGGGACCCGGUUCCAGACCCUGACCCGGCCCGCGUGAGGCUCGCCGUCUGCGUUCAAGUCAAACGGCGUCCACCGACACGUGGAUGUGUGACGCCUGGAGCAGCAGAGCGCGUGCCGGGCGAUUGUCGAGAGAGCGAGGAAAGGCUGAUGCAUUGAUGUGUUCAAAGGCUCUAACACACACAAUCACACACAACUUGGCGUCUAAAAGGCCGGCGUUGAACGUCAUGAAUGAAGAGAGAGAGCAGGACGAGCAUCAAAAGGAGGGAAAAAACAACCCCCGAGCUGGAGUCGGAUGCGAGGGAGACGAGCUGAAUGAGCCCAGCCGGCGGAACGCAGCAUCUGCAUCACAAAGCGACUUUCCAACGUCGGCGGCGCUUCAACGGCCCUCCGGUGCUCAUGAGGUUUGGCUCGAAGGCGUGGCGCGGAGCCGAAAUACACGCUCCACGGCGAUCCCUCCGCCGCCGCGUGCACAACACCACGUGGUCACCAGGCAGAAUGCGCUUCACGGGAUCGCAGGGUCGCCGCGGUGCAACGAGAAGGAGAGGAAGGUCACGCAGGGAAUGAAGAGAGCAGUUUUAGGAAUGAAGCGAGACUUUUCUAAUCCAUCUGUCCACACGGCAGAGUCACUCAAGUCCCACUUUUGAGUUCCAGUUUUUUCCAUUUCAGGUAAAAAGGAGCCCAUCUUCUUCCCGCCCCUCGGUUCCCUCCAUGAGUUCCUUAAUUAGCAGCGCGUCCGUCUCUCUUACGCUCGAUGCCUCCGAACUCUCCGCUGCCUCCUUCCUCAUUCUCUCAAUUCCUUCGUCCUUUUAAUCUCCCUGUUUGGUCACUUGCUCACACCGCCCCUCUCUGUCUUCUUUUGACGUUCAAACUCUGGAGGCAAAUCGCGUUCCAGUCAUGAGAGCACAUUUUGCGAGGAGCAAAUACGUUCUGAACUGCAUGUUUGCGUCACUUUGACCCGAUCCAUUUGGAUCGUUGGUAAGUUCACAUGAUUAACAGAAGGCGCGACACGACACACACGGCAGUCUGCUCAUUUAAUUAAAGCCGGAUUUUGCAUUUAGAUUGGAUUGGCAGAUUAGAGGAAAAAAAGGGGAAAUGUGCUGUUUUCAGUUUAGCAAAGCAUCAGCAGGAGCAGAACCAGCGGCUUCCUGGAGCUUCCUGAAGCUUCCUGAAGCUCCUCUUACACUGAACCCCCUAACCCCCUCACUGCAUCAAGCUUCAUUUUCAAAUGAGUCAGAAACUGAAUCCAUCAAAGGACGCGUUGCAUGAAGGAGCAUCUGGCAUUCGCCUCUUUUUACAAAUGAAACUCUUCAUCCGCACAGAGAUCCGAGCUCACGGUGCGUUCAGGCUCUCCUCAACAACCUUUAAAGUCAAACAUUUCUAUUUUUAUCACCGGGAUAUUGCCCUCGGAGAGCUAACAAAGCGUAGAAAAGCAGUGAUGAACAGGGACACAUUUAAUGAGCUUCCUUCAAAUUCAGGCAAAUUAAGUCACACGAACCCAGCGUCUCCGUUUCAUUUUGAACAACCUUUGAAAACGGGACCGGGAAGAUUUAUUCGUCACCUUGAAAACAGGAGUGUUUCUUUCCACCGCGCACCGAUACUCUGCAGCUUUUCAACGUACCAAGCAAACCGUGUUUUUUAGACCAGGCUGUUCCGACGGGGACAAAGAGGAACAAAGCACGUUCCACUAGAACUCUCCGUUAUUUCCACGCGAUGAAUUCCCCGUCAUCUUUAGCAGGUGUCGACUUUAAAUCUGGUGUCUUAGUUUGACUCGUUCUCUGCAAGCAGUGUGGCAUCAAAGCCCCGGGGGAACGCACAAGCUAGCUAGCCAGCUGUGCGCUAGUUAGCUAGCUAGGUCAACGUAGCAUAAAGCAUGGUGGGAUUAGCCAGCUCGCUAACUAGCUAACGCAGAGCAGCCUGCUGCAGGGGGGCCUUCGGGUGGACCAGGGACACUCAAAAGAAGGAAAAAAGAUGUACAGUUUCACAAGCGCACGUGUGUGUGUCUGUGUGUGUGUGUGUGGCACCAUCAAUGUGUGUAUGCGGUUUUUUUUCCAUUUAUCUCCUUUGUGGUUUCACUAAUGUUUGAAGAAGCUAUUUGAUUCACACUCGCUGGUUGCAGAUUAACGAUAAGGAAGAUUACACUGUCACAAUCUAUCAGCGCGUACCUGUGUGCGCGUGUGUCUGCGUGUGUGUGUGUGUGUGUGUGUGUGUGUGUGCGUUCGUACGCUUGGAGACAUGAGUUUCUUGUUCUCCCCCUCUUGCUCGGGCGUACGUGGCCCUGCAUGUGAACACCGUGUCGGUGUCUUUGUCUCUCCUCCGGGGGGGAGACCCCACCGACCGCCUGUCCCCGACUGAUCCGGCGUCCCACCGCCGGUGAGAGAGACGGACUGAGACGCAAGUGAGACGGGAAGCAGAAGGGAGAAAUGACGGAAAUGCGAACGGAGAAAAGACACGAGAGAAAGGAGAAGAGUUUGUGAUUUUAAUUCACGCAUAAACUGCCUCAGCAGAUGUCUCCGCUUUGCCAAAAACUGUCUCGUCAAGUGCAGCGAUUUAAGAUCCUGAUGUUCAGCGUCACCACAGCUGUUUGCAGCGUCGCGUCUGCAGCCAUUUUGUAAGAGCAGGUGCUGCAGACGUUUUUUGUUUUGUGUCUUUUUUUCUUUUUUCUGCUCUUCCCCAAAUGGUGUCUCUCGCUGUGAGCAGAGAGGACGGAGAAGCCGAAGAGGUGAGAGGGGGCGUAGGAGGGAGGCGGGGGAGACGGGAGCAGGCGGAGGGAGAGGCAGGAAAAUAAAGGGAUGGGU
ensembl:lncRNA